rnacentral:rRNA from 1 species
AGAGUUUGAUCCUGGCUCAGGAUGAACGCUGGCGGCGUGCCUAAUACAUGCAAGUCGAGCGAACAGACGAGGAGCUUGCUCCUCUGACGUUAGCGGCGGACGGGUGAGUAACACGUGGAUAACCUACCUAUAAGACUGGGAUAACUUCGGGAAACCGGAGCUAAUACCGGAUAAUAUAUUGAACCGCAUGGUUCAAUAGUGAAAGACGGUUUUGCUGUCACUUAUAGAUGGAUCCGCGCCGCAUUAGCUAGUUGGUAAGGUAACGGCUUACCAAGGCAACGAUGCGUAGCCGACCUGAGAGGGUGAUCGGCCACACUGGAACUGAGACACGGUCCAGACUCCUACGGGAGGCAGCAGUAGGGAAUCUUCCGCAAUGGGCGAAAGCUUGACGGAGCAACGCCGCGUGAGUGAUGAAGGUCUUCGGAUCGUAAAACUCUGUUAUUAGGGAAGAACAAAUGUGUAAGUAACUAUGCACGUCUUGACGGUACCUAAUCAGAAAGCCACGGCUAACUACGUGCCAGCAGCCGCGGUAAUACGUAGGUGGCAAGCGUUAUCCGGAAUUAUUGGGCGUAAAGCGCGCGUAGGCGGUUUUUUAAGUCUGAUGUGAAAGCCCACGGCUCAACCGUGGAGGGUCAUUGGAAACUGGAAAACUUGAGUGCAGAAGAGGAAAGUGGAAUUCCAUGUGUAGCGGUGAAAUGCGCAGAGAUAUGGGAGAACACCAGUGGCGAAGGCGAUUUUCUGGUCUGUAUCUGACGCUGAUGUGCGAAGCGUGGGGAUCAAACAGGAUUAGAUACCC